UCUAUAUAACUACAACCACCACACCCCCAAUUCUCAUUCAUCUCAGCUCUCAGCGCCGCCGUCCAAUAAACACACACACACACACAAUCAAACACAGAUUGAAGAAUCAAUCAAUCUGCAUCUCUCUAUGAAUUCCUUCUAUUCAAUUAAUUUCGAUUUUUUUUUAAUAAAAAAACCCUAGCUUCUAUCCCCACAGCUCAGAUCUACUCAUCUCGCCUUCUUCAAACAGCACACACAAACACGCACUCCAGUGUGAAGAGUUUGCUUCUGCAGAAAUCCAUUCCUUUGAUUUAAUUUCCGAUUUUUUUGAUUUCGAUUCAGAUUUUCUGUCUGUAUAUAUAUGUGUAAGUAUAUAUAUGAGCAAUGACGACUACUGGUAAUUGGUCUCGUUCGUCGUAUCGGCAUUCCAAUGCCUUGCCGACUAUCCUGUUAUAUCACCACCCAUAAACUGAGCUCAUAGGCCAAUGAUUAUAAAAAAAUUAGACAAGCAUAUGUCUGAAUUACCAUAUGUGGAUCAACCUAAUCUUCUCUAUGAGGCCUCUGUUUUAGAUCUUGUGUUUUUUUUUAAUUCUGUAUUAAUUAAUUAUUAAAUAUAUCUAUUUUUUUUCUGGAAUUUUUUGCUAGCCAAUGAUUAUAAAAAAUUAGACAAGCAUAUGUCUGAAUGAAUUACCAUAUGUGGAUCAACCUAAUCUUCUCUAUGAGGCUUCUGUUUUAGAUCUUGUGUUUUUUUAAUUCUGUAUAAAUUAAUUAUUUAUUUAAUAUUUAAUUUAAUUUUUUUAUUUGUUGAAGAUCUUGUCUGUGAUGAACAAAAGCAUAGUUCAUAUGAAUCACUAGUGAUUAUAAAACUACCUAGUCUUUCGCUCCUAUCUGAUGA